AGAAUUCAGCAUAGCAAGUUCGUAUGAAGGUCUGGUUAUUAAAUGGGUACAUAGUUCAAUAGUAAUAUCCUCUAAAACGCUCUGGUGACAAACUUUGCUGCCCUGUUUCCAAUUGUCCACAUGGCUGGGAGAACCUAUUCAACACUGCACAGCUGAUUCAAAUGGUCAACUCCUCAUCAAGCUGCAAGUGAUACCUUGUAACUGGAGAUUACUUCAAAAUUAUUGCCUACAGUUAACGUGUAGGGCACUGCAAGGUUGGGUGACCAGGGCUAUCUGGGACUUCCUCCUGGAGGAAUUCAGGUGUGUGAAGGCUACCUGUGUCCUGCAUAACUUCAUGUGGAUGGACACGAGAACCAGGGGGGAUCUGCAGCUCGCCGCAGUGUGCCAGAGGAGAAGUCUGCUGCUCUGCAGGAUGUUUCAAGGAUGGUGUCCAACAAUGCAACAAGAGGCAAUCCAUGUGCGAGAGAUUUUCACCUCCUAUAAUUAGACACCCUAUUACCUACACACUCAUGUCUCAAUUUGAUUGAUGGAUUGUGUUGUGCAGUAAGCAGGCUCAGGUGUAUAACUGUGUCUACUUCCACCUUAAAAGAAUAGGCAAGAGGGCCAACCAUGGAGAAUAUCUCUCUGUCACGGUUGUCGUCUGGAAUGGAGG
rnacentral:lncRNA from 1 species